rnacentral:rRNA from 1 species
CUUACCAUGCAGUCGAACGGCAGCAUAGGAGCUUGCUCCUGAUGGCGAGUGGCGAACGGGUGAGUAAUAUAUCGGAACGUGCCCUAGAGUGGGGGAUAACUAGUCGAAAGACUAGCUAAUACCGCAUACGAUCUACGGAUGAAAGUGGGGGAUCGCAAGACCUCAUGCUCCUGGAGCGGCCGAUAUCUGAUUAGCUAGUUGGUGGGGUAAAAGCCUACCAAGGCAACGAUCAGUAGCUGGUCUGAGAGGACGACCAGCCACACUGGGACUGAGACACGGCCCAGACUCCUACGGGAGGCAGCAGUGGGGAAUUUUGGACAAUGGGGGCAACCCUGAUCCAGCAAUGCCGCGUGAGUGAAGAAGGCCUUCGGGUUGUAAAGCUCUUUUGUCAGGGAAGAAACGGUAGUAGCGAAUAACUACUACUAAUGACGGUACCUGAAGAAUAAGCACCGGCUAACUACGUGCCAG